GCAUUGGUAGCUCAGCGUUAGAGCACUGGUC
rnacentral:tRNA from 1 species